rnacentral:rRNA from 1 species
UACGGGGGGGGCAAGCGUUGUUCGGAAUUACUGGGCGUAAAGGGCUUGUAGGUGGCCAACUAAGUCAGACGUGAAAUCCCUCGGCUUAACCGGGGAACUGCGUCUGAUACUGGAUGGCUAGAGUGUGGGAGAGGGAUGCGGAAUUCCAGGUGUAGCGGUGAAAUGCGUAGAUAUCUGGAGGAACACCGGUGGCGAAGGCGGCAUCCUGGACCACGACUGACACUGAAAAGCGAAAGUCAGGGGAGCAAACGGG